rnacentral:rRNA from 1 species
UACGUAGGGGGCAAGCGUUGUCCGGAUUUAUUGGGCGUAAAGAGCUCGUAGGCGGUUGGGCAAGUCACGUGUGAAAUCUCCACGCUCAACGUGGAGGCGCCACGUGAGACUGCCCUGACUCGAGUCCGGUAGGGGAGCGUGGAAUUCCUGGUGUAGCGGUGAAAUGCGCAGAUAUCAGGAAGAACACCCGUGGCGAAAGCGGCUCUCUGGAACGGUACUGACGCUGAGACGCGAAAGCGUGGGGAGCGAACAGG